CCUGGCCUCAGGGCCCACAGCAUCCCGAGGGGCUUGAGUCACCAGAAGUCAGCAAGGCUGGGCUGGGGGUGGGAAUUUAAUCUUGAGGGAAUCAGAGCCACGAGACAAAGAGGAAGUAGGGAGUCUUCAGCUUUUCCCAGGGCCACUCAGCACACAGCCCCACAGUGUGUUGGGUCCUUGUGCUUUUUAGCUUAGCGUUGAGACGGUGGCUGAUGUGCACAUGGCUAAGAAUGCCCAGGUGACUGAAACCUUGCCAGCGGGCUGUGAAGACAGCUCCAACUGUAAAUGAGGUGUAGCAGACAUCGCCACCUGAGAUUUCACCAUUUACAGUUUCUGUCAGCCACAGACCACAGCCCUCAAACGUUAAAUGAAUCAGAACUGAGAAUCUCAGCUCCUGUUCUGAGUGCAGUUUCUCACCAAGGUCCAGACUGGACCUGGGAAGCCACCUGAUGAGGGGCCCUAGAGGGUCAGUGACUACUGGCAUCAUUCCAGCCCCAGAGCUAUGAGUGUCUGGCCAUUGUGUCAAACUUCAACCCAAUGCCACCUCCUCAAAGGAGCCCACCUGAAGCCCACAGCCUGAGUCAGCUCAUCAUGUGGUCAUUUAGACGGUGACUGUCAUCGAGCCUAUGUUUAG
rnacentral:lncRNA from 1 species